UGGGGAAUAUUGCACAAUGGGCGGAAGCCUGAUGCAGCGACGCCGCGUGAGGGAUGACGGCCUUCGGGUUGUAAACCUCUUUCAGCACCGACGAAGUGGUGGGAUGUUUCCUGUCGUGACGGUAGGUGCAGAAGAAGCGCCGGCCAACUACGUGCCAGCAGCCGCGGUAAGACGUAGGGCGCGAGCGUUGUCCGGAUUUAUUGGGCGUAAAGAGCUCGUAGGCGGCUUGUCGCGUCGUUCGUGAAAACCUGCAGCUCAACUGCAGGCUUGCGGUCGAUACGGGCAGGCUGGAGUUCGGUAGGGGAGACUGGAAUUCCUGGUGUAGCGGUGAAAUGCGCAGAUAUCAGGAGGAACACCGGUGGCGAAGGCGGGUCUCUGGGCCGAUACUGACGCUGAGGAGCGAAAGCGUGGGGAGCGAACAG
rnacentral:rRNA from 1 species